rnacentral:rRNA from 1 species
UACCAGCUCUCCGAGUGGUGGGGAUGAUUAUUGGGCUUAAAGCGUCCGUAGCCGGCUUAGCAAGUCUCCUGUUAAAUUCAGCGACCUAAUCGUUGAGCCGCGGGAGAUACUACUAGGCUAGGAGGCGGGAGAGGUCAACGGUACUUCCGGGGUAGGGGUGAAAUCCUAUAAUCCCGGGAGGACCACCAGUGGCGAAGGCUGUUGACUAGAACGCGCUCGACGGUGAGGGACGAAAGCUGGGGGAGCGAACCGGAUUAGAUACCCGGGUAGUCCCAGCUGUAAACGAUGCGAGCUAGGUGUUGGGGUGGCUACGUACCACUUCAGUGCCGCAGGGAAGCCAUUAAGCUCGCCGCCUGGGGAGUACGGCCGCAAGGCUGAAACUUAAAGGAAUUGGCGGGGAGCACCACAAGGCGUGAAGCUUGCGGUUC